UACAGAGGGUGCGAGCGUUAAUCGGAAUUACUGGGCGUAAAGCGCGCGUAGGCGGCUUUGCAAGUCGGGUGUGAAAUCCCCAGGCUUAACCUGGGAACUGCAUUCGAGACUGCAUUGCUAGAGUAUGGGAGAGGGAUGCGGAAUUCCAAGGUGUAGCGGUGAAAUGCGUAGAUAUCUGGAGGAACACCGGUGGCGAAGGCGGCAUCCUGGACCAAUUCUGACGCUGAGGAGCGAAAGCCAGGGGAGCAAACGGG
rnacentral:rRNA from 1 species